UACGGGGGGAGCAAGCGUUGUUCGGAAUUACUGGGCGUAAAGAGCUCGUAGGCGGCUCGUUGCGUCGGCUGUGAAAACCCGCAGCUCAACUGUGGGCUUGCAGCUGAUACGGGCGGGCUGGAGUUCGGUAGGGGAGACUGGAAUUCCCGGUGUAGCGGUGAAAUGCGCAGAUAUCAGGAAGAACACCAAUGGCGAAAGCAGCUCUCUGGGACGGUACUGACGCUGAGACGCGAAAGCGUGGGGAGCGAACAGG
rnacentral:rRNA from 1 species